rnacentral:rRNA from 1 species
UACGUAGGGUGCGAGCGUUAAUCGGAAUUACUGGGCGUAAAGCGUGCGCAGGCGGUUCGCCAAGUCAGGUGUGAAAUCCCCGGGCUUAACCUGGGAAUUGCGCUUGAAACUAGCGGGCUUGAGUGUGGCAGAGGGGGGUGGAAUUCCACGUGUAGCAGUGAAAUGCGUAGAGAUGUGGAGGAACACCGAUGGCGAAGGCAGCCCCCUGGGCCUGCACUGACGCUCAUGCACGAAAGCGUGGGGAGCAAACAGG